GACGAACGCUGGCGGCGUGCUUAACACAUGCAAGUCGAACGGAAAGGCCCUGCUCGCAGGGUACUCGAGUGGCGAACGGGUGAGUAACUCGUGGGUGAUCUGCCCUGCACUUCGGGAUAAGCCUGGGAAACUGGGUCUAAUACCGGAUAGGAGCAAACUUUAGUGAGAUGGUUGGAAAGUUUUUUCGGUGUAGGAUGAGCUCGCGGCCUAUCAGCUUGUUGGUGGGGUAAUGGCCUACCAAGGCGGCGACGGGUAGCCGGCCUGAGAGGGUGGACGGCCACAUUGGGACUGAGAUACGGCCCAGACUCCUACGGGAGGCAGCAGUGGGGAAUAUUGCACAAUGGGGGCAAGCCUGAUGCAGCGACGCCGCGUGGGGGAUGACGGCCUUCGGGUUGUAAACUCCUUUCGCUAGGGACGAAGCUUUUUGUGACGGUACCUAGAUAAGAAGCACCGGCUAACUACGUG
rnacentral:rRNA from 1 species